UACGUCAGGGGGCUAGCGUUGUCCGGAAUCAUUGGGCGUAAAGAGCGUGUAGCGGCCCGGUAAGUCCGCUGUAAAAGUCAAAGGGCUCAACCUUUGAAUGUCAGUCGGAUACUGCCGGGCUAGAGUCCGGGAAGAGGCGAGUGGAACUCCUGGUGUAGCGGUGGAAUGCGCAGAUAUCAGGAAGACACCAACGGCGAAGGCAGCUCGCUGGGACGGUACUGACGCUGAGGAGCGAAAGCGUGGGGAGCAAACAGG
rnacentral:rRNA from 1 species